GAACUCCUUCUGGAUCCGGAUGGGAACUCACACAGACUGGUGUUACAGAACCAACUACCCCUGAUGGUGUGGCUCCUUUCAGGGGACCUUGGGAUGUCCCAAACAUUCCGCAAUCGACUCUCCUACUCCUCUAUAACGCCUGGGCUCCAGGUACAAGAGCGGCCUAUCGAUCUUCAUGGAGUUCGUGGUCUGGUUGGUGCAUGGAACAGUCAGUGGAUCCCGUAUCUGCCCCUCUCCAUAUGAUCUUGGAGUUCCUCACACACAUGUUCGAUUCAGGUAAGGCUGUUGGAUUUUUC